rnacentral:rRNA from 1 species
GAGUUUGAUCCUGGCUCAGGAUGAACGCUGGCGGCGUGCGUAACACAUGCAAGUCGAACGAAGCAGAAGGAUGCUUGCAUCUUUUUGACUGAGUGGCGGACGGGUGAGUAACGUGUGGAGAACCUACCUUACACAGGGGGAUAACGGCUGGAAACGGCUGCUAAUACCGCAUAAGCAUACAGCUUCGCAUGAAGCCGUGUGAAAAGAAAAAUCGGUGUAAGAUGGCUCCGCAUCUGAUUAGCUAGUUGGUGAGGUAAUGGCUCACCAAGGCGACGAUCAGUAGCCGGCCUGAGAGGGCGACCGGCCACAUUGGGACUGAGACACGGCCCAGACUCCUACGGGAGGCAGCAGUGGGGAAUCUUGCACAAUGGGGGAAACCCUGAUGCAGCAACGCCGCGUGAGCGAAGAAGUAUUUCGGUAUGUAAAGCUCUAUCAGCAGGGAAUAGAAAAGAAGGUACCUGACUAAGAAGCCCCGGCUAACUACGUGCCAGCAGCCGCGGUAAUACGUAGGGGGCAAGCGUUAUCCGGAUUUACUGGGUGUAAAGGGAGCGUAGACGGCUGUUUAAGUCAGAAGUGAAAGCCCAUUGCUUAACGAUGGGACUGCUUUUGAAACUAAGGAGCUAGAGUGCAGGAGAGGUAAGCGGAAUUCCUAGUGUAGCGGUGAAAUGCGUAGAGAUUAGGAGGAACACCAGUGGCGAAGGCGGCUUACUGGACUGUAACUGAC